AUUGAACGCUGGCGGAAUGCUUUACACAUGCAAGUCGAGCGGCAGCGCGGCCUUCGGGCUGGCGGCGAGCGGCGAACGGGUGAGUAAUGCAUCGGAACAUGCCCAGUCGUGGGGGAUAACACUUCGAAAGAAGUGCUAAUACCGCAUACGUCCUGAGGGGGAAAGCGGGGGAUCGCAAGACCUCGCGCGAUUGGAGUGGCCGAUCUCGGAUUAGCUAGUUGGUUGGGUAAAGGCCUACCAAGGCGACGAUCUGUAGCUGGUCUGAGAGGGUGGUCAGCCACACUAGAACUGAGACACGGCCCAGACUCCUACGGGAGGCAGCAGUGGGGAAUUUUGGACAAUGGGGGCAACCCUGAUCCAGCCAUUCCGCGUGAGUGAAGAAGGCCUUCGGGUUGUAAAGCUCUUUCGGCAGGAACGAAACGGUGGGCUCUAACAUAGUCCGCUAAUGACGGUACCUGAAGAAGAAGCACCGGCUAACUACGUG
rnacentral:rRNA from 1 species